UUGGAGAAAGUAAGAGAAAGCCCGAGGCAGAAUGUCAAGAAGGGACUGAGAGACUGACAGACACAGCCCAGUGAUGAGUCCAGCCAGAUGUCCAGAGUCCCAGCCUGCAACAAGAAAUGGAAAGCUUUGAUGCUUCAGUAAGAGCCUGUUGAGAACUCCUCUAACCAAACAGCCUGCACAUCUAUGAAUUUUCAGCACCACAGGAAACUAAAGCCAGAGGGUGAAGUGAUCAGGCCAAAUGCCCCACAAGUGUGGGAGAAUGGAUCCAGACACACCGCAUGUCUGUAAUCAAGAUCUUCCCCUACUGUGCCCACUCAGCUGUCACAAGAUAACUUAGAGGGCAGCAAGAUCAACUUCCCCACUGUCUGUGGAGAAACAGCUGUGGGAAACAUCUCUAGCUGGGAAUCCCAGGAGAUAAGAAGAUCCAGCCCAGAGAGAAACUCUUAGAAAAAGCAACCUAGAGAAGAUGUGGGACUGAGACCGUCAAGGUCAGGAAGGAUGAUGGCAACACUGACUGACAGGAGUCACUGGAGUAGAAGUUAUUUCAGGAAGGGGCUGGGAAGACAUUCUCACAGAGAGUUGCAAGCAACACGGUGGUGGGGAUCUGGAAGGGCUUGGCAAGGCUGCUGCUGUCAUUUCCGCCCGUGGAAUGUUCCCAGGAAUAACUUUAACAUAUAGGGAACUACAAGUUUACUGUGGAAAAUAACAUCAUAUCUGACUGCCAUCAUUUAUGGUGUUGGGGCAUUCUGGUUACAGAAGUGGG